rnacentral:rRNA from 1 species
UGGUUAAGUCCGCAACGAGCGCAACCCUAUUGUAGUUGCCAUCAUUCAGUUGGGCACUCUAGCGAGACUGCCGGUAAUAAACCGGAGGAAGGUGGGGAUGACGUCAAAUCAUCAUGCCCCUUAUGACCUGGGCUACACACGUGCUACAAUGGUUGGUACAACGAGUUGCGAGUCGGUGACGGCGAGCUAAUCUCUUAAAGCCAAUCUCAGUUCGGAUUGUAGGCUGCAACUCGCCUACAUGAAGUCGGAAUCGCUAGUAAUCGCGGAUCAGCACGCCGCGGUGAAUACGUUCCCGGGCCUU